rnacentral:tRNA from 1 species
GUCUCGGAUAGCUUAACUGGAAGAGCCCUUGGCGCGUAACCAAUAGUUCCGGGUUCGAUUCCCGGCCCGGUCU